UACUGACAUACAGAGGGUGUAGAUUAUCUCAUUUAUCACAUUUACUGACAUACAAAGGGUGUAGGUUAUCUCAUUUAUCACAUUUACUGACAUACAAGGGGUGCAGGUUAUCUCAUUUAUCACAUUUACUGACAUACAAGGGGUGUAGGUUAUCUCAUUUAUCACAUUUACCGACAUACAAGGGGUGCAGGUUAUCUCAUUUAUCACAUUUACCGACAUACAAGGGGUGUAGGUUAUCUCAUUUAUCACAUUUACUGACAUACAAGGGGUGUAGGUUAUCUCAUUUAUCACAUUUACCGACAUACAAGGGGUGCAGGUUAUCUCAUUUAUCACAUUUACUGACAUACAAAGGGUGUAGGUUAUCUCAUUUAUCACAUUUACCGACAUACAAGGGGUGUAGGUUAUCUCAUUUAUUACAUUUACUGACAUACAAAGGGUGUAGGUUAUCUCAUUUAUCACAUUUACCGACAUACAAGGGGUGUAGGUUAUCUCAUUUAUCACAUUUACUGACAUACAAGGCUUCAGGUUACCUGAUUUAUCACAUUUACUGACAUACAAGGGGUGUAGGUUAUCUCAUUUAUCACAUUUACUGACAUACAAGGGGUGUAGGUUAUCUCAUUCAUCACAUUUACUGACAUACAAGGGGUGUAGGUUAUCUCAUUCAUCACAUUUACUGACAUACAAGGGGUGUAGGUUAUCUCAUUCAUCACAUUUACUGACAUACAAGGGGUGUAGGUUAUCUCAUUCAUCACAUUUACUGACAUACAAGGGGUGUAGGUUAUCUCAUUCAUCACAUUUACCGACAUACAAGGGGUGUAGGUUAUCUCAUUCAUCACAUUUACCGACAUACAAGGGGUGCAGGUUAUCUCAUUUAUCACAUUUACCGACAUACAAGGGGUGUAGGUUAUCUCAUUUAUCACAUUUACCGACAUACAAGGGGUGUAGGUUAUCUCAUUCAUCACAUUUACCGACA